UUUUAUUUGCGAAAUCUGGCAGCCUUGCCCGUUCUUCCGUAGCAGUUCCAGACAGCCACGGCCACCUGGUCCUGGUCCUCGGGAGUACCGACACAACUGCCACCCUAAAGGGCACCAGGAACUCUACCUCCAUCAGCUCGCAGAUGGUCACCGUGGCAGCUGUCUCUAAGGAGGGUGUUCACUCCUCUUCCACAGAUGACAAAACUGAGACUCCAAGAAGCCAAGUGACUUGUGUAAGGACAAACGGUAACCAAGGCGCAGGGGAAGCAGCCAGCCUUUGCCAGUCUGACUCCAAAGUUCAAGUUCUAUGUACACCCCAGGUAGCUUGGCAAACCACCCACUUCUCGAACAGGAAGGCCUCAACCCUGCCGUUCACAAAGGAGGAAAAAGACAGUGUGUGCAGGCCCCCAGGCACAGGACAGACAAGAUUCGGUGCUAGAAUAUUCAAAGUGAUUUUGAAACCCAGCGCCUCUUAGUAAUAACAAUACCAGUUUCGGUCAUUUGCAUAACUUUCUACCGUUAACAAAAGGUAUCCCCAGCAGUUAAUUACAAUGACAAAGAAGGCACAAGGAGGCCGGGGCGGUGGUUCACGCCUGUAAUCCCAGCACUUUGGGAGGCCGAGGCAAGUGGAUCACCUGAGGUUAGGAGCUCAGCCUGGCCAACAUGGUGAAACCCCAUCUCUACUAAAAGUACAAAAAAUUAGCCGGGUGUGGUGGCACAUGCCUGUAAUCUCAGCUACUCGGGAGCUGAGGCAGGAGAAUCGCUGCAAUCCGGGAGGCGGAGGUUGCAGUGAGCUGAGAUCGCGCCACUGCACUCCAGCCUGGGCAACAAGAGCGAGACUCCGUCUCAAAAAACAAAACAAAACAAACAAACAAAAAAAGAAGGCAGAUGGGAGAGAGAAUGGUCUGUAGGAUCCCUCUGCAGACCCUGGGACGUUUCCUGUGCUCCCACUGGACAUGGCUGGGGUGGGUGGGUGGGUGCUGGGCAGAUCCUUCUGGGCCAACUUCCAGGAGCUUCUAGAUGAGGGUCCUGAAGUCACAGGCUCUGAGCGUGGGUCUGGGCAGCGCACAGAGGGCUUGGGUCCCAGUGGCCAGUUCCAGCUCUGCCUGCAGGACCCCAGUGUUGGCGAACAUGCCAUCGGUUACAGUUCCUGACACCACCUGCUGGACUGGAUUCCAGGCGGUGUAAACCAGUCUCUGCUCUCAGGGAGGGUCUGAAAGACGACGGAUCCUUUGAGGGAGGGAACUGGGAGCCCAGGCCCUCAAGAUGGGUUAGGAGUAAACUGGAGGGGAGGGGCUUGGGACACCUGCCGGGGGAGUCCAGGGUGGGGUAAGACGCUGGAGAAAAUAUGAUCAAAAUGAGACUUAUGUAAAUCAAAUCUCGUUUGGUUGCAGAUCUUUUACUGCUGUUUUGAUCUGCCAUUGGCAGAGACUGCUGACUACUUGGGCUUUUGAGUUUUUCUUCCCCUUUUUACGUGCCAUGUGGGGCAGGGGGCGGGAGGAGGUGGGGUGCCCUUUAGGCCACCAGGUUUUGUUUUUGUUUUUUGAGACAGAGUCUCGCUCUGUUGCCCAGGCUGGAGUGCAAUGGCGUGAUCUUGGCUCACUGCAACCUCCACUUCCCGGGUUCAAGCGAUUCUCUUGCCUCAGCCUCCUGAGUAGCUGGGACUACAGGUGCGUGCCACCAUGCCCGGCUAAUUUUUUUUGUGUGUGUGUGUUUUUAGUAGAGAUGGGGUUUCACCGUGUUAGCCAGGAUGGU
rnacentral:lncRNA from 1 species